GUUUUCUCAAAGUACCAGCGAAAUUGUAAUUCAAAAAGAAUGUAUACAAUUCAACCCAGAGGUGGUGGAGAGAGCAAAACCGGCCAGGGGAAACCAUCCCUUGGGGAAACCAUACCUAUCCCUUUUGGGCAGGCAGGGGACAGCCAUAAGUAACAGCAAUAAAUCUCGUCAAAAUUGUUGGCUAAAUACGAAUACGUCUCCUUGUUUAAGCUUGUUAAAAAAGAAUAUAA
rnacentral:misc_RNA from 1 species